rnacentral:lncRNA from 1 species
GGCGGUUCGAUUCUAUCGGGUCCUCUGCCACCUACUGGAGUAUUUUUUGCUGCUCCACUGGUCAUAGAGGGCCUCCCAUAUGUCCACCCGCAUCCAGUGAUCUCUAUAGGAUCUUCAAUCUGAUGGUAACUAAAAAUUAAAAUGCUGGAUGGUGGACUGCUUAAGGCUAUGUAGCCCAUCUCAAAAUUUACGUGCGGCCACCUACUCGAAGAUCCGAUGGCCAGCCUCC